GGAGAAGAGCAGGAUGAAGAUGAGGUGAAGUUUAGAGACACGGAUGAAGUGAAGUGAUGACAUGCAAGAGGGAUGACUCAAUCACCCACUGGCUGCAUGCUACCAGAGCAAUUAAUCAUUGGGGACCCACUGAGACAGCAUGAUGACAAGAACCGCAUGCUCAGAUUUCUAUCUUACUGCAGCUCAAUGACAGAUAGGAGAGCAUGCUGGAUAUGAGAAAAUCUCCAGUCAGGUACAAAAAGAACAAAUGCUUGAUAUGAAUCACGCUGACAUAUUUUCACAGUAAAGAGCAGUUGGGUCUUACACACAUGGAGUGUGGCUGGUAUGGAUUGACACAAGACAGUGAUGGAAGGUUAGGACAAGCUAUUAUAUUUGCUCCUGUCAGGUCUAUAAUUUUGCUCCCCAUAUCUGAAAGUUUUCAUUCCACGUUGGUCCAUUUGAAGAUGCAUGGUUUGCUUCUGUGAGACAAGCCCACUACCUGACACACUCAUUUUGCAUAAAUCAUCACAUCUAAAGAGGAACAGACAUCAGCAAAGAAACCGGGACAUCCAUGAUUGCAAUACCACUAAGGCUAAGAUGGCUCAUUAGGGCCUGUCCCAAGUCUCCACUCAUUUCAUUUCAUUGUUCCCUCAUGCUCACGGUCAAAUGCCAUCAAUUGUUGCACUUCACUUGUCUGCCAAUCAAACACACAUUUUUCCAAGCUGUUGGAGUCUUCCAGUCCUGCAGCCAACCAACCAUGCCAAGGCAGGUGUCUCUCUCAUUGGACAGGAGCCCAUGUGGGUUUUUGAAAUGCAACAUUUUCCUUCUAAAAUCAGAAGAGGUCCCCAGGCUUCCUGUUUUUGAUUGUUGGCAUUGAAAAUGCUGCCUGUGGAGGACAGUUUUACAAAUUCCCAAUUUAAAACAUUAGAUAAAAAAAGUAAAUUGCAUUACACCCGUGGCCUCUAACCUGUAACUUUGAUUAGAUGCAGGUAUGGUAAUGCUGUAAAGUCAGCAUGGCAUGUAGUCUACAAGACUGUGGAGCUCUCCUUCUGCUCCUUCUCCUGCUGCUUUUUUUAAUCUAAAUAAAUAAAAUGUGUUUUACUUACCAAAACACACUGUCUGCAUCCUUCAAGUUUAGCAAAAUUGUUAAACACAAGCGGCCUUCCUCUUCACUGCCUUUGUUGCUGUGCGGCUGCUGCCAACUGGAUGUUGGAGGCUGGGCAUGUGUAUCCUUAUGUAAGUGCACAAACUGAUACAGAGCAUGACGCCAAAGAGAAGAGUCACUUUCACCCAUAUAGCAAAUAUGCAUCCAAGUCAUGGUCAUUUUUUUUGCUCAAAAUCAGCAAAAAUGUUGACAAAUCAACCAACUAGGCAUCAUUUGCAAGGUAUGAGAUGUCUCAGUCAUUUUGCUAAUCCCUUGUAGCUGUGAAACAACUAGUCAGCCACUUGCCAGACGAGUUAUUCUGAGACAGGGUAUUUUUUUUCUUCCCUUUCCACACAAUGAAAUAUGAAUAGAAGUGGUGGGGAUAGUUGGCAGCUGUCAACAAAUUCCACAGCUUCCCGCCACCAUCGAUCAAUCAGUCCCAUAUCUGAACCACAACCGUGCUAACCCGCUGGCUAGAACUGACAUUAAUCCUAAACCUUCCAGUCAGUGCGAAGGAAUAACAGGAUAUAAGGUGGUGGGAGCGAAUGCUGAUACAGGCUCUAAAGAGGAAAGGUGCCAAUGCUAAUGAGUGUAUCUGUGGCUCUUUAACGAGCCCGAUUUGAUGUCCUAAUUUACAAUGAGCUGUGUCUCAGGGGCGCAGGAUAAUGAGCAGGACCGGGAUUCCCAAGGCAGAGGCUUGUGUAACCCAUCUCAUGCAGGGGACAGUCACUCCCACAGAGUGUGAGUGAGAGACAGACAGUAGCUCAGAGAGCAGGAAGGACAUAUUCCAUGUCUGUAGGAGAGAGGAGGGUGUGAGAGAGGCGGGUGGGGAGGUGGGUGCAUGUCAUCCCUGCCUGAUAUGAUUGUUUGUACACACCAAUCAUUGAAUCGCUGCGUCCAAGUGAGAAAAGCUUGUGUUCUCCGUGACAAACUGACCUCGGGCAACAACAGCACUCACAGAAAGAGGAAAUGGAGAAGGAAAGCAUGGCGGGUGGGGGAGAAGCAGCAGCUUUGGAAAACAGAUACAAAAUAUUGUAGACUGUGAUAAAACAAUACUCUGUUCACGGCAAAAACUCAAUUUUCUCGCUUUCCUUUCUGUGCUUAAAUCACACAAAAUUUAGCAUCGAAAAUUUGAUACCGAGCAGCCCUGGAAAAAAAAGAAAAAAUCUGAUUCUAGUGCACUCUGAAGCAAAUUAACAAAUGUGGAGCUCAGUGACCUCAGUGCAGAGACCAUGCACACACAGUAUGCAGUGCGCCCUACCACCCCCACCUCUUACUGCUGCGUCUGCAUGGCUGCAUUAGUCAAGCUCUGAUGGGUUUUUCCGCCAUGAGAAGCAGAGCAUGACAUGCGCUCAACAAUGGCAGGCAGAUGACGAGCCAGCUCCAUUUGAUGAUGGCCUCUGCCGCAGCGGCCGCUUUUUUUGAUGUGGAGGAAUACAAGGGCAGCGUGAUUCAUUAUGGGUGCACAGGUGGCCCGAGAUCUAAUGAGUCACAUUUUGUGCAGUUCAAACGGCUCUCCGAGAGGAAUGCACAUGCUUAAAAACAAGCGUGUAUCAGAGCUCUCAUUGGCACUUUUGCUGCAGAGGUAUCAGCUGCUUUUCCUCAUGUCGGGAGGACAGAUUUCAUACUAUCAAUUUAAAAGGAGCACCACAAUAAGUUACUGCAACUCUACGAAUAACCUGCAGUGUCUAUUGGUGAUAUUUGGAUUAUACAUCUGCUCCUAGUUUCUAGUUAAACCUUUAAACCUCCCAGCAUUAAAUUCUGCUUAAAAACCAUUUAAAAAAUACAGUCGCUGAAUAAACAGUUUUUAAUCAAUCAGAUUUCAGAGAACUGUGCGUCACAGUUCUAAGUGUUUCUGCUGGCCUCUCUAAUCAGUCUUGGUUAUUAACACUGCCCCCCUCUGGCUAGUUAGGACAUUGUUUUGCAUUGUACUGUACUUUUUAAAGGAUCAAAUUUAUCUACGGCACUAGAAAAGUCUAGAAAUUAGAAAUCAUAUUUGUCUUUCUCAUAACAAUCAUUUAGACAAAAUAUUAAUAGUUCUUCCUUCCAUGGAUAUUAUUUGGGAAGCAUGUUCUAGCUUGUUUGAGCAUGCUAGUCAAUUCAUCACAGGAACCACAACAAUCCAAAUUGUGCCUGAUCUAUUAACUGCUUGCCACUGAGCACCAUUUGAACGUUUGACCUUCUAGCACAGCUCCUGACAUUAUGUUGACAUUUAAAGUAAUCCCUCCCGCGGUUCUUAAUCCCAGUUGUCGUGGACUGGCCUGGCCAUUCUCUGAGAUCAAGCCCCUUACAGUACAUGCUGCUCUCACCACACCCCGACAGAAAAGGCGUUGAGAAAGAAACAACUCUGACACUGCCAGUCUGUGACAUCCUUGUGCUUUGGAGAGAGAUCACAGAUCAAAGCAUGUAGCAAUACACAAACUGAGGCAUUAAGUUGAAUGUACACUGUCAUUACACUUUGACAGAGCUAAGGAUUAGAUUUUCCUAAAAAAAAAUAAUUAAAUACCAGCCAAUGUUCUGAGAAUCCAGAUUAACAACACAUACAGCUGUUGUGAAGGCAUCUCACAUCUGGAUGAGAAAACACGGGUUUCAUGCACACAGAAAAAAGAAAAAAAAAUGAUGAACUCAUCUGAUUUUCUUUUAUUAAGCAUGUUGUUCCCGAUUUUUCCUGUAACCCUUCGCUUUCACAGCUGAGAAACCUUUUAAUAAAAUGUUUGGCGUUACAUAAUCUAACUGCAGAGAACGUGUCAUUCGGACAACAGGCCCCGACAGAUAAAAGUGAUUAAAUGAGAGGUACAAGAUGACAACCCAUUUAUUUAGUAAUACAUUCUGCAAACUAGAAAUUUUAUUCAAACUUCAAAGGCUAAAAAUGAAAGAAAGGAGGGAGGGGGAGGGAAAUAGGUGGGGGAGGGGGGGAGAAAAUAUGAGUAGCAGGGAGAAAAAUGCAUCUAUUCACAAGCAAGGAAUGCAAUUUGUUCAAUCGACAACACAAAUAGUACAAUUUAGUUCAGGGAGCAAAGCUUUUUUUUUUCUCUUUUUUUUUAAAACACAUUUC